rnacentral:rRNA from 1 species
UACAGAGGUCUCAAGCGUUGUUCGGAUUCAUUGGGCGUAAAGGGUGCGUAGGCGGCGCGGUAAGUCGGGUGUGAAAUCUCGGAGCUUAACUCCGAAACUGCAUUCGAUACUGCCGUGCUUGAGGACUGGAGAGGAGACUGGAAUUUACGGUGUAGCGGUGAAAUGCGUAGAUAUCGUAAGGAAGACCAGUGGCGAAGGCGGGUCUCUGGACAGUUCCUGACGCUGAGGCACGAAGCCCAGGGGAGCAAACGGG